GUAAAAAAAAAUAAACAUGUUAGAUAUCUUGCAAAAAUGCUUUUGAUGAUGCAAUACAUAUGCAGCAAAAAAAAGGAAAACAUUCAUCCAUAGCAACACUCAAGAAUUAUUCACAACCAUUAUUCACUAAAUACUAUUAUUUUAAUAAUUAGUUGGCACAUAAAAGGUGGGAUUCAUUUUUAAAUAAUGUUACAAAUCACCAACAAGUAAACCUUAGCAAAUAUUCAUAUAUAGACAGUUGUUAUAAUAACCGACAAUUAAGUUCUCAAAAAAAAUACCAAGUGACAAGCAAUUGAGACAUCAUGAGUAUAAAACAAAGAUACAACACGAUAUGCAAAAAUUUCUGCAAGAGAGAGAGAGAUAGAGAGAACAGCAUUAGAGCCGGCUGACAGUGUUCUUAAGAUGGAUCAAUAGCACAACAAGAAGCUAUAAGAGUUAAAAAAUGAAUGUUACUGGAAGCAUAUCAAUUUAUCUAUCUAUUUUUUUCCUGAAAUUUUCUCCUCAUAGAUUAAUCAGAAGAAUUCACUUCAGCCAUAUAUAAAACUUUAGCAUUAAAAAAAUAAUAUUAUAGAGUAUAUUGACCCUAUUAUGACCAACUAAAAAAUCUCUUAGAAAAAUAACAUGGAACAAGUGUCUACUGUCUACAUGUAAAACAAUCAUAAGCUUAGAAACAAUUAUAAAAAAAAAAUCAAAUACAAUCACAAACUUAGAAACAAUUAUUAAAAAAAAUAAAAUACAACAAAUUCAUAAAGGCUAGAUUCAAAAGAGCUUCAUGAGUAAUAAAAAACACAGAUAUGAAAAUCCAAAAUUGACUUUCUAAUAUCAGAUUUUAAAUUUAAACUAAAUACUAGAAAAAUAACUCAUAUAUGGAGUACUAUCUUAUGUUACCACUGUGAAAGUGAUCAAGACAAAUUUCAGGCACAACAAGAUCAAAUACCAUUAUCGAUUACUCUUUAAUUUGGAGUUUUCUAAAUAAUUCUCGGUUCUUUAUUGUUAUCAUGCUAUUGAAUAAAGAAUUUGUUGUUGAUUAAGGUUAACUUAAAACUUCUAUGGUACAUAAGUUAAUAUUAUUAUCUUGAUUCAUCAGAAAACAACACACAAAUAAAUUAUUAUGAGUAAUGACAUCCACUUCAAUACUUAGUGACCUUGGUCUUUAUCGGAUUAAGCUAAUGAACAAGGUUCCUUUGUUUACAUUGAAAAACCAUAUAAACAUAGCAAUAAGGAAAAAUCACUACAGUUGAUAAACUAAUCACAAUAAUAGUUAAGAAAAUUCACCAAGAUGGUACACUAAUUAAAUAAUUUAUACACUAGUCUAUUCACCGAGUAAAACCCCCAAUUGGUUUAGAAACGUUUUCUGAGUGGCGACUUUAGUCUUUUAUUGUUGUUUUUCAACCAUUAUUCCCUAAAUUUCAAAUUAUUAUAAAGAUUAGCAAUUAAACGUGCAAAAGAGAAAGUUUAGUCCCCAAUCAAAUUUUACAAAAUAGUACUCAUCUGUCUCACAAUGUGAACAUCUAGGAACUAAAAGCUAAUAAACCAAAACUAAAGAAUAAAGUUGCCACUGGGGAAAAAAA